AUUCUUUACCACAUACUGGAUAAAAUUCACCGGUGCACUUAUUGUAUCCUAACAUUGUUGUUGUUAUUAAGCAGCUGUGAUGUUUACCUGGGCUCCUUAUUGCUCUGUUCAUCAGACUGUUUCCUUCUAAUGCAUGUGGUUCCGGGACAUCAAUGGACACCACAUAUCCUUUAAGGGUCACAUCUCAUUUUAUUUACGGAUGUUACCAUUUACUUUUGUAUAUUCAAACUAUCUCCAUAAUAUAUAAUUUUGUGAGUAACUCCUUUCAGUUACUCAGUUUUUAAUGCACACUCUUGCAGGGUUUGGUUACUGCUGGAGGAAACUGGGCCUGGUGAGGGCCUGGUCUCUUAUUUAAGGCUUUGUACCGUGACCUGCCUGCAGUGCCUCCAUCACCUCGCCUGCACCCUGUAAACACCUGUCCUGCUCCAUAGCUAUGGAUACGAAUAUAGAUGAACAUUGGAUGGAUCAGAGGAGCGUGAAAAGGAUGUGCAAGUGACUGACAAAAUGCAGGAAGCCAAUAGCAGGACAUACAACAGAGAGGGUCUUCACUGAAAUUCAGGAAGUUCUUAGAGAGGUGGUGACCUUUGAGGAUGUGGUCAUGAACUUCAGCAAUGAGGAGUGGACUUUGUUGAGUCCAUCCCAAAAGAACCUCUACAGAGACGUGAUGGGCGAAACCUUUAGGAACAGGACUGCAAUUGG